GAUGAACGCUGGCGGCGUGCCUAACACAUGCAAGUCGAACGGAGCUGCUUUGAUGAGAUCUUCGGAUGGAUUUAAAACAGCUUAGUGGCGGACGGGUGAGUAACGCGUGGGUAACCUGCCUCACACUGGGGGAUAACAGUUAGAAAUAGCUGCUAAUACCGCAUAAGCGCACGGUUCCGCAUGGAACAGUGUGAAAAACUCCGGUGGUGUGAGAUGGACCCGCGUCUGAUUAGCCAGUUGGCGGGGUAACGGCCCACCAAAGCGACGAUCAGUAGCCGGCCUGAGAGGGUNAACGGCCACAUUGGGACUGAGACACGGCCCCAAAUCCUACGGGAGCAGCAGUGGGGAGUAUUGCACAAUGGGGGAAACCCUGAUGCAGCGA
rnacentral:rRNA from 1 species